rnacentral:tRNA from 1 species
UCCCCUGUGGUGUAAUAGGCAACACUGUCCACUUUGGAUGGAUCGUUCCAGGUUCGAGUCCUGGCAGGGGAG